rnacentral:rRNA from 1 species
AUCUCUUAUCAAUGAAAUCGAGUAGGACGGAGCACGAGAAACUUUGUCUGAAUAUGGGGGGACCAUCCUCCAAGGCUAAAUACUACUGACUGACCGAUAGUGAACCAGUACCGUGAGGGAAAGGCGAAAAGAACCCCGGAGAGGGGAGUGAAAUAGAACCUGAAACCGUAUGCGUACAAGCAGUGGGAGCCUACUUUGUUAGGUGACUGCGUACCUUUUGUAUAAUGGGUCAGCGACUUAUAUUCAGUGGCGAGCUUAACCGAAUAGGGGAGGCGUAGCGAAAGCGAGUCUUAAUAGGGCGUUUAGUCGCUGGGUAUAGACCCGAAACCGGGCGAUCUAUCCAUGGGCAGGUUGAAGGUUAGGUAACACUGACUGGAGGACCGAACCGACUACCGUUGAAAAGUUAGCGGAUGACCUGUGGAUCGGAGUGAAAGGCUAAUCAAGCUCGG